GCCUGAUCCAGCAACGCCGCGUGAGGGAUGACGGCCUUCGGGUUGUAAACCUCUUUCAGUAGGGACGAAGCUAACGUGACGGUACCUACAGAAGAAGCACCGGCCAACUACGUGCCAGCAGCCGCGGUAAUGCGUAGGGUGCGAGCGUUGUCCGGAAUUAUUGGGCGUAAAGGGCUCGUAGGCGGUUUGUCACGUCGGGAGUGAAAACUCGGGGCUUAACUCCGAGCCUGCUUCCGAUACGGGCUGACUAGAGGUAUGCAGGGGAGAACGGAAUUCCUGGUGUAGCGGUGAAAUGCGCAGAUAUCAGGAGGAACACCGGUGGCGAAGGCGGUUCUCUGGGCAUUACCUGACGCUGAGGAGCGAAAGUGUGGGGAGCGAACAGGAUUAGAUACCCUGGUAGUCCACACCGUAAACGUUGGGCGCUAGGUGUGGGACUCAUUCCACGAGUUCCGUGCCGCAGCUAACGCAUUAAGCGCCCCGCCUGGGGAGUACGGCCGCAAGGCUA
rnacentral:rRNA from 1 species